UUCUUAUGUGACCAUAAAAUAACCAAAAUAGAACAUCCCCCUGAAGUCAUAUAAGGAACCUUGAACUGCAGCACUUUCAUUACCAAAAGAGGACGUGUUUGGAAUGUCCCUAAUGUGAAGGUUUGAAAUUUUCAUCACCUUUAGAGAACUUUUAGGGAACAUCGCCUUCUACUGUACGGGGGAAGGUGGUAGCACAUUCUGAUGAGGGUGGUUUCACUCCAGUAGGUGUGGAACUGCCAAAUGACUAGAGAAAUGUUAUCAGCAAGAUGGUAUAAAAUCAUAUAUUUCUUGUCUAUUACCACCCACCGCUGCUCACACCGACAGCGGAAAUAAGGCAGUUAGAAGAGCAGAAUAUGUGGGAGAGUUUUGCUAUAGUGUGACUAUACUGUAUUGCAAUACAGGUGGUAGCUCAUUCUGAGGGAUAUUUUGAGCCACUCAGGAUGCGCUAUCCCUCAGUUGGACCUGUUUUAUCAAACAGCACAAAGUAAUGCUUCCGUAGCGUUCCAUGGUCAAAUCCUGGCUCACUACUGAAGCUAAGCGGGCUUGAGCCACAUGGAUAGGAGACCUUUUUGAAAAUAACUUGAUUUUCAUUGGAAGAUGCUUUAGUGAGGCCAGCAGGGGGUGCUCACUCACUCACUGGCCUCUAUGGCUCCUUAAGUCAGAGUGAAGUGAUGGGACCACUACACUGUAAGAAAAAGCAUCCUAUAAACCGAGGUCCUGACUUGCUGUGGUCGUUAAUUGCCACUUUAAUUAGUAAUUUGACCUUAUUAAUUAAGGUGGUAGCACAUUCUGAUGUGGGUGGUUUCACUACAGUAGCUGUGGGAUUGCCAAAUGACUAAAGAAAUGCUAUCAGCAAGAUGGUAUAAAAUCGUACAUUUCUUGUCUAUUACCACCCACUGCUGCUUACACCAAGGGUGGAAAUAAGGCAGUUAGAAGAGCAGAAUAAUUGGGAGAGCGUUGAUUUAGUGUGAUUAUACUGUAAUGCGAUACAGGUGGUAGCUCAUUCUGAGGGAUAUUUUGAGACACUCAGGAUGUGCUACCUCUCAAUUGGACUCAUUUUGAUGUGGCUGUGUGAAGAAGAUGCUGAUCCUAUUUUGUGUGGAUGGAGCUUAACCAGCAUUUUAAAGAUUUAUUUUUUUGUGAUAGGACAGUAUGCAGACAGGAAGAAAGUGGGAGAGAGAGGGUUGGGAGGGAGGCGGGGGAGGAUGGGAUCAGGAAAAGUCCACUAGCCGGGACAUGAACUGGGGUUGCUCAAAACACAAUGAUAUUUGUCAGCUUGAAGGCAAAUAAAGAAAUAAAUCUUGAAGACAUGCCCAGUUUACUGAUCUGACGUGCUUACCAUAGUAACCUCAUACAUUAAUGUUUAAUGCUUUAGGAAGAUCAGCCAUCCUUAAACACAAUGGGUGGAAUCACAGGUUUAGGCAAUAGUUCACACUUUUUCCUAUACGUAAAUUGGAUUGCCACAUUUCAGCUUUGCAUCACAAAAGCAUCCAUGUUAUUGUCCGCUAAUGUUUUUGAGUGUGAGCCUAAUCAUCCAAACACCUCUAAUCCAACCUAAUGUGUCACAGGUCAGAGUGAGAGAAAAAUAAAGAAUGAAGACAUGAAUGGGAAGAUUUUACUCUAAUUACAAUAAACACCUUGACAGUGGCAUCAACCCCAUGUGGCUUUGUGGGGAUUUCAUUGAAUUAGUUAAGAAACAGAACUAAGUUCAUUUUCAGAAAAUGCACAAGAGUCAUUCCACAAAACGGGUAUGGUUUGGACUUACACAUUUUUAGAUUUUUUCCCAAAAUGUAUUACUUUUCUGAACACCCCAUAACAUUAAUUGCAUAUUUAACUUCCAGAAAAACAUAUUAUCCCAUCUCAGGCAUCAAAUCCCUAUUAUUAUUAGUCAUUAUUGUAAGUUAUGGACACUAUGGGAGCUCUCUGAAUAUUAUUAUAAAGUGUAUUUGUGAUAAAAUCAGCAUGUGCCUCACACUAAUUCAGUAAUUGCAAAUAUAAAAGUUACAUAAAAUCUCACACUUUUGCUAUACUAAAGCCUGAAAUUGGCACUUUUUGUGACAGCAGCCUCAUCAUUUUUGAUCAAAGGCUUAACUUCAGAAUUUGAACUAAAAUCAGUAUUCUUAUGAUUGCUCUGAACAUUUCAGACAGAAUUCAACUCAUUUUAAAUUGCUUUUUUAUAAACUUGUGUGACGGGGUUGUGAUUUUUGCCCAAAUUGGCCUCUGCUCGAAUAAAAAUGGAGAGCACAUGGCAUGCAUGAUAUUCAGAAAUCAUGAAUAAUGUUGAAAUAACAAAGAUAAUUUUCACAAGUAAUAGUUUUCCAUCUUUAAUUGAUGUAACGGGGUUGAGUCGUUAAGCUUGACAAACACAUUUUCACAACAUAAUUUAGUUAUAAUUAUUAAAGAAGGUGGUGUCUGCUCACAAUGUUGUUCAGAAGACUUCUAUGAUGUCACUUCCUAUUAACGAUGUCACAUAAGUAUCAGUUCGUUAUUUUUAUAGGCGGAGAAUGGUUUGUGUAACGGGGUUGAGGGGUUACUGAGGUACGGAACUAAAUGAUGUGAUUUUAAUGAAUACUCAUGAAUUUACUUAGAAAAAAAAACAUUACCAGCAAAAAAGCACAGAUGGAUAUUUAUGGGAAUGGCAAAAUGAAUGGACUUUUUUCUCAUUUUAUUAUUCAUAUCCCAAGUACACUUUCAUAGAAGGCCUUGAGGGACAUGACAAAAUAGGUGGUGUCAACUGAAAAAAACAAAAUCAUUUCUAAUAUGAAGAUAAAAUGUAUGUCAUGUUUUUAAACAUUAUCUCAAUUAAUACAAAAAAUCUUUUAAAAAUAUAUUUUGGUGACCCAAUAGAUAAAAUACACUGAAAAAGGUCAGAGGGACCGGUUUCGUGGAAUGACUCACAAAUGGAAAAAAUAAAUAAAUAAAAAUCGGAUGUUGCAGCGUUUUCUCCGACCGCCAGAGAGCGCUGCUCAACACGCUGUGAAUCUCACCGACUCUUCUGAAUAUCAUAUGGACACCCAUGGAACAUUCUCAGGGAACUUUUCAUUUAUUGUAAACAGGGUGAUUAACCUGUGAUCAAACCAUCUAAUGACUGACAUCUUCCAUUAGUGAACACAUGGUGGCCAUUAGUGUCUCAAUAGAAACUGUCCAUGGUGAAAACAAAGAGAGAGAUUGCCUCUGGACCAGUACGGACCAACACCUCUGAGGAAAGUUUCCAGCACCUUUUUGAAUUUAAGGCACAAAGAAUUAAGGCUGUUCUGAAGGCCAAAGUCUGGCCAAAAUUGUGCAUCACGUCAUUGACUCAUCUGCAAGUGUAUAUGAGGCAUGAACCAACCCAUUCGUUCUGGGCAGCACAAAGCAAACAUCACGCCAAGGUCUGUGUAAUCUCAGCAACACACUCACACCCUGUGCUCCAAGGGUUUGAUGAUAUGAAAUAGUAACUGUAGUGUAAUUAAAUAUUUGUUCGCAUGAUGCUACUUGUGUGUAAUUGUACUAGUGUGCAUGAAUGUGUAUUUGUGACCACAGAAUAACCCUCUCUGAAGGUCUCAUGGGCUUUUAGGGUAGGUGAGCUGUAGAUCGUGCUGAAUGUGUGUGUGUUUGUGUGUGUGUUAACACGUUAGUGAAGGUCGCUGGUGCAGAUCAGGUAGCUCACUUGUAAUUUGAGAACCCAAUUAGUGUGCUCCAGCACCGUGCCAAAUGCCCUGUUUCUCUCUGCCUCAUUAGCCUAACACACACCACUAUGACCAUUUACAAUUUACCAAGAACAUCUGACAAACAACAGUUUGUGAAAAAGCAGCAUUUUACAAUGUCAGCAUUAUCAAACUUCACUCUUAAUGCAAAAGCACAAACAUUAGCUCAAAUAAUUCAGUUUGGUGUGGGGUUAUUUGGAUUUAAAUGAAACGUAUGUUCACUUCCUGUCCUUCAUUUUUGCCAUCUGUAUAGUAGCUCAGGUACACCAGACACACACAAAGGAAGCACCAUGAAUUACCGCUAUAGGGUAACUAAAUACAGGGGCAGACUAAAUCCCAUCUGGCACUUAAAUCUCCUACCUGAGACCUUUCACCACAGUGGGGUGUUUUUUCUUUCAUUUUAAGGCAUGGAUUUUAUGUGACUUAUUAUUUAUGCUUUUGUAAUAUUAAAGAUGUCGUCAGAUUUUGAAAGUAAAAAUAGCACUAGGA